UAGAAUGGCUGCGUGAUGCUCAGUGUACGAGUGCGGUAGUAUAAUUCGUUUCGGGUGGCUGGCUGGUUUAAAUUUAUGGGAGCAAAUUCAUCAAGUGCGUUUCGGCCGCAGCAUCAUCGCCGUUCCGAGAGAUAGAACAACAUCUUAUUGAAUGAAAAGGACAGUGGUGUUCGCAGCGGAUGCUGGUGUUCAAGGACGUUGCGUGGAGACGUCAAAAAAGACACGUUCCAUUGGUUUGUCGUACAUGGGCGGUUGUUUGGAGAUAUCAAGCCGAGAAGAUUGCUAAAAUGACAGGGCAUGUACCAACAGUCAAGUACCUGAAGUCGCUGCAAAACUGUGUGACACGCACACCAUAUGUAACAAAACUAACAACGCUGAGAAAGGGAGGCUCUGGUGGGACUAGUCUAUCGGCACCCUGUCUCCCUUGACCCCAGCAAGGAUUUUGAAUAAAGUUUUCUCUGUCUCUCUCUUUGUCUGGUGUUACUUGGCUUAUGUAUGUGGAGCUGUUUCCAUCAACAAAAUUUUAUAAUUCAAGUUCGAUGAUUGUCCUAUGAGCGAUAAUAAAUCUUUUUUUUUUUUAGGUAUAGUAUCCUUACUUAAACCUGUCAAGCUGCUCAGGUCACAUGGCAGUUCCUUUAAAGGUGUUCUUGAACAAUGUCUAGACAAAAGGCUGGCUGUCAAGGGUCACAUGUAAGGCAGUGUAAAGGAAUAUUCUUACACAAUAAUUUUUUCAUAAACCUAUAUUGAACAGACAAGCUGUAAUCCUUCCCAGGAGGAGGAGGAGGAAUAAACUUUUAUUGUAGAACCAGCACUUUAUGAUGGCCGGGCCUAAGCCUCCCACGAAGGGACGUCGAGGGCUUGCCUUGCCGCCGCCUCGCAGGCGUGCUGGGUCACCCAGGUUUGGUCGUCGAGGGCGGAGCUCCGCAGAGCCUCAUGCAACCUCGACGAGAUAAUCCUUCCCAGCAAUUCGAAUUUUUUUUUUUAUGCUCAACGUAGUGCUCAUUUCUCGAUACUCAUGUUCACACUGGCAAGCAUGUAGUUCCUACAAGCCUAUGGGGAGGUGUGAAAAUGCUUUAGAAAUCUAUAUCAAGCUGUCACCAUUUUCUCUUCUCCACCAAAUGGCCAAUCCUAACCCCAGCCAUGGUGCUACUAUCUCAACUGCCAUCACCAGGUUGGUUGCAGGGAUUCUUAGCACAAAUGACAAAGCACCUCCACAGCAGACAUCACACUAUUUGUGAUGUCACCUAGCAGAGAGUUGGCACUGUAGCUGAAAGACUGCACAGUAUUUUACUAGUAAUUGUGGUCUCCUCACAGCAUGAAAACAAUUUGCACCGGUCAUGAUUGCCAGAGGCACAUUUACACCUUGCCCAGACAAUCAUGGGUAGUUACUCUGCACAUUGUACUUGUCCACACAAAUUUUAUGAAUAUGUUGAUGCCAAUUGAAGAGACAGUGUAGAAGUCACAAAUCAGAAGUGU